GACAAGUGGGAAAAGGAAAAUCCUGAAGACAAAUUAUUUUACAGGCCUUACCAAGACGGGGCCAUUACGUUAUCAACAGCCGUCACAUCCGACGAAAGCAAGGAAAUUGAUGUGAUUGAAAGUCAGGAGGAAAUUGACAUUGAAACACAGGAGGAAACUGACGUUGAAACACAGGAAAUAAAUCUCGGAAAGUCAUUGUUAUUCGUUCACCAGACUGCAUGGCAGAGACGCUUGCUUGCUAAGUAUGGAAAUGACCUUUGCCUUUUGGACGCAACGUACAAAACCACACGAUUUGCUGUUCCGCUUUUUUUCUUGGUUGUAAAGACUAACGUUGAUUACCAGGUUGUUGGUUCUUUUGUAACGCAAGGGGAGUCGAAAGAUUGCGUCUUGGAAGGAUUGAAAGUGCUUUCAAACUGGAACCCAAACUGGAAACCAGCUUGCUUUAUGACAGAUUUCAGCGAGGCAGAGAUCAAUGCUAUCGAAGAAAUAUUCCCAGGUAAUGUUGAACAAACUGAACACAAAUUACACAACAGUCAGAGACUUUACGAUUCCACCAUACUCUACAGGGCGUAUAAAAAAAAACUGAACAGAUUUGAAAUUCCUCUCAAUUUCGCAAAAUACCUAUUUGUAUCCGGUUUUUUAUAUAUAUAGCUUCUUUGGGUACUUGUGAUGUAGAAUAAUGAAAAAAAUUUCUCGAACUCAAAUUUUGUGAACCAGGGGGAUGUCUUUUCCAGCAAAUGAAAAAGGGCUUGCGCACAAAAUUUAAAAGCUGUAAUCAUAUUUUGAGUUAAUAGACGUAAAAUUUGUCGGGUUUUUAAUUACUGUACAAAAUUUCAGACAAUUUGGUUUAGUUUAAGCCCUUUAACUAUUCACGCAAAGUUACAUUUUUCCUAAAAAUCAGCUAUUUGCAUGCUUAAUUAAUGCAUU